UGCACGCCCUCACACACCGACACGGGAGAGAGGAGUCCAGCGUGAGAAGAUGCAGGAAUCUUUAUUCGCCCAAAAACUCGCCGACAAUGAUAAGAAAAAUAGAGAUAAAGCCAUUAAAACGCUUAGGAAAUAUUUCUCUGCGAAAUCUACCACGAAAAGAAGGGGUUUCUCUCAUGAUGAGAUGAUGAAAAUAUGGAAAGGUCUAUUCUACUGUAUGUAUAUGGCAGACAAACCACUCGUUCAGGAGGACCUGGCAGAAAGUAUAAGUGCAUUGAUACACAGGCUUGGAAAUGUAGAGGACCGCCAUAAUUUUGCAAAGUGUGCAUUCCUAACACUGGCCCGUGAGUGGAAUAAUAUUGACAUAUUCCGUAUGGAUAAAUUUAUGAUGUUUGUAAGACGAAUCCUGAGACAAAUAUUGGUGCAACUUAGUUUAUGCAACUGGAAUGUAAACCGUGUCUCAGAGAUCUCAAAUAUCAUUGGGACAACAGUUCUUGUGCCAGAUGACCAUAAACACAUCACACCUCUAGGGCUGAAAUUGCAUCUAUCAGACAUCAUCUUGGAGGAGCUAGCCAAGAUAGGUCGUGAAGAUAUCAAAAAUAAGGCUUUGCUUGAAUUUUUAAAACCUUUUAUAAAGGUCUUAGCCCUGACAAAGGAUAAACGUUACUUUGAGAGGGUGUCAGAAAGAAUCAUCCGCCAGCUUAUGCGUCAGAGUGAUGAAGGAAUAGAAUAUGAAGCAAGUGAUGAUGAAGAUGCUGAUGAAGAUAGUGAAACAGGGUAUGAAAGUGACCUGGCAGAGAAGGAGAAUGACGAAGAAGAGAGAGAAGAUGAGGGCCAGAUGGAAGAGGAAGAAGAUGAGCCAGAUGAGGAUGAGGAUGAGGACGAAGUGCUCGACCCAAGGGCAGGGGACGUGGAUGUGCUUCUGCCACAGCUCCAGGUUGACUUUGACUCCUUAGCUGAUGCCAUCCAGAGCGUGGCAAGUGUCCCAAACGUUAGUGCAAGCAACCGUGACAAAAUGUACAAACUGGUGAAUGAGCUUCGAGACUUGGCUCAGGGCUUUUAUCCUUUGGCUGAUAAUUUCCCUAUGGUUGACAAAAAUGGUGACAUUGAAGGCAUCUCUGAACAUCAGAUUGAUGAAGCUGUUGAAAGGAUGAGGAACUAUGAUGGGGAUGGACAUGACCCACUAUUUGACAAAAAAGAAGCUAGAUUAAACCGUUUAAAGGAACGAAGACGCAAGAUAAGGAAGUUGAAGAAAGAAGCGGAAAAGAAGAGAAAAAAAAUUCUUAAGAAAAAGCUGAACAGCAUAAUGGAAGGAAAGGAAAAUAAAAAGCAUCUGGACAAUAAUCGCAUUAUGCUUGAAGCCAGGAAGCAGCAGAUCAUUGAAAAGAAAUUAGAAAGACUAACUACAUCAUCAAAAAAACAAAAGAAGAGCAGUCCACUUUUGGUAAAUGGGUUAGACAUCGAGGUAAACAAUAAAAGAAAGGCAAAAAUUCAUGGGGGGUUCCAGGUUUCAGAGCUGCCAUCUGCCCAGAAAUCAGUUAAGUCAUUAAAGUCCAGCGGAGACGUGGAGACGCUAAACAGCAAGCGAAAAGGCAAGAAACGGAAAGGGGAGUUUGCAGAGCAGGUGAUAAAGACAAAGAAGAUGGCAUUCCAAGUUUCUGACAUUUCCACUUCACCAGGAAAGGCUGACACAAAAUGUCAAACACAGUUUGAAGUUACAGAUAUCUCCCCCAAAAUGGACUUGACGAAUUUAAGAAAUGCAGACAAGAAUAACUCCAAGCUUGUGGCUGUUGCUCCUCUGGUCCCAAACAUAACAACUGAACCAGAACUGAAUGGGAUAGCAAGACCAAAGAAGAAUGAGCUGCAAGAAUCUACAAAGAAGACCAAGGUACAGCAUUUAGGGAAACUGAGUGGGAAGGGCAAGGCAGUAUCACAAGCAAAAGCGCCUAUGCAAAAUGGUGCAGUUUCCAUCAAAGCUACAGGAACUUUGAAGGCAGGUGAGGGGAAAGAUGAAGGGGAGAAAGGAGAAAAGCAAAUACCCACAUCGAAUACCACAGAUGAUGGGAAAAAGAAGGGCUCUUCAAUGAAGUCUGCCAAAAAGGCAAAGAAGUCAGCCUGGGAUGAACCUUUGAAAGAGGGAGAAGUUGAAGUCUUCAUCAAGAGCCGAAAGGAAAUUGCCAAAACAAAGAAAAACAAAAGUAAGAUGAUCAGGCUUGGUGGUCUAGAGGUGAGAAUGUUGUCAUAGUUUUUUUGUUUUUGUCACUUUCAGUUCUCCAAUAUAUGUCGCCUCCUGCUCAUCUCCCAGUAGAGGAGGAGGAUAGGAAGGAAGUUUAUAUUCAGAUGAGAGCCCUCACAACUUUGGCGAAAAGAGCAUCAAAAUCAACCUAAGGCACAACCAGGAGCACGAGUACAGUGAUUAUGCCCGCACCUUAAAGGACAGCCCUAAUAUACCCUACAACGCCAACAAGUUACCCAAAGCUCC
rnacentral:misc_RNA from 1 species